UACAGAGGGGGCAAGCGUUGUUCGGAAUUACUGGGCGUAAAGGGCGCGUAGGCGGCCUCCUAAGUCAGACGUGAAAUCCCUCGGCUCAACCGGGGAACUGCGUCUGAUACUGAGAGGCUUGAAUCCGGGAGAGGGAUGUGGAAUUCCAGGUGUAGCGGUGAAAUGCGUAGAUAUCUGGAGGAACACCGGUGGCGAAGGCGGCAUCCUGGACCGGUAUUGACGCUGAGGAGCGAAAGCUAGGGGAGCAAACGGG
rnacentral:rRNA from 1 species